UUAAGCGACUAAGCGUACACGGUGGAUGCCCUGGCAGUCAGAGGCGAUGAAGGACGUGCUAAUCUGCGAAAAAGCGUCGGUAAGGUGAUAUGAACCGUUAUAACCGGCGAUGUCCGAAUGGGGAAACCCAGUGCAAUUCGUUGCACUAUCGUUAACUGAAUACAUAGGUUAACGAGGCGAACCGGGGGAACUGAAACAUCUAAGUACCCCGAGGAAAAGAAAUCAACCGAGAUUCCCCCAGUAGCGGCGAGCGAACGGGGAGCAGCCCAGAGUCUGAAUCAGCUUGUGUGUUAGUGGAACGGUCUGGAAAGUCCGACGGUACAGGGUGAUAGUCCCGUACACCAAAAUGCACAGGCUGUGAACUCGAAGAGUAGGGCGGGACACGUGGUAUCCUGUCUGAAUAUGGGGGGACCAUCCUCCAAGGCUAAAUACUCCUGACUGACCGAUAGUGAACCAGUACCGUGAGGGAAAGGCGAAAAGAACCCCGGCGAGGGGAGUGAAAAAGAACCUGAAACCGUGUACGUACAAGCAGUGGGAGCACCUUCGGGUGUGACUGCGUACCUUUUGUAUAAUGGGUCAGCGACUUAUAUUCUGUAGCAAGGUUAACCGUAUAGGGGAGCCGCAGGGAAACCGAGUCUUAACUGGGCGUUAAGUUGCAGGGUAUAGACCCGAAACCCGGUGAUCUAGCCAUGGGCAGGUUGAAGGUUGGGUAACACUAACUGGAGGACCGAACCGACUAAUGUUGAAAAAUUAGCGGAUGACUUGUGGCUGGGGGUGAAAGGCCAAUCAAACCGGGAGAUAGCUGGUUCUCCCCGAAAGCUAUUUAGGUAGCGCCUCGUGAAUUCAUCUUCGGGGGUAGAGCACUGUUUCGGCUAGGGGGUCAUCCCGACUUACCAACCCGAUGCAAACUACGAAUACCGAAGAAUGUUAUCACGGGAGACACACGGCGGGUGCUAACGUCCGUCGUGAAGAGGGAAACAACCCAGACCGCCAGCUAAGGUCCCAAAGUCAUGGUUAAGUGGGAAACGAUGUGGGAAGGCACAGACAGCCAGGAUGUUGGCUUAGAAGCAGCCAUCAUUUAAAGAAAGCGUAAUAGCUCACUGGUCGAGUCGGCCUGCGCGGAAGAUGUAACGGGGCUAAACCAUGCACCGAAGCUGCGGCAGCGACACUAUGUGUUGUUGGGUAGGGGAGCGUUCUGUAAGCCUGCGAAGGUGUGCUGUGAGGCAUGCUGGAGGUAUCAGAAGUGCGAAUGCUGACAUAAGUAACGAUAAAGCGGGUGAAAAGCCCGCUCGCCGGAAGACCAAGGGUUCCUGUCCAACGUUAAUCGGGGCAGGGUGAGUCGACCCCUAAGGCGAGGCCGAAAGGCGUAGUCGAUGGGAAACAGGUUAAUAUUCCUGUACUUGGUGUUACUGCGAAGGGGGGACGGAGAAGGCUAUGUUAGCCGGGCGACGGUUGUCCCGGUUUAAGCAUGUAGGCUGGUUGUCCAGGCAAAUCCGGAUAAUCAAGGCUGAGGUGUGAUGACGAGGCACUACGGUGCUGAAGUAACAAAUGCCCUGCUUCCAGGAAAAGCCUCUAAGCAUCAGGUAACAUCAAAUCGUACCCCAAACCGACACAGGUGGUCAGGUAGAGAAUACCAAGGCGCUUGAGAUAACUCGGGUGAAGGAACUAGGCAAAAUGGUGCCGUAACUUCGGGAGAAGGCACGCUGGUGUGUAGGUGAAGCCCCUGCGGGUGGAGCUGAGACCAGUCGAAGAUACCAGCUGGCUGCAACUGUUUAUUAAAAACACAGCACUGUGCAAACACGAAAGUGGACGUAUACGGUGUGACGCCUGCCCGGUGCCGGAAGGUUAAUUGAUGGGGUUAUCCGUAAGGAGAAGCUCUUGAUCGAAGCCCCGGUAAACGGCGGCCGUAACUAUAACGGUCCUAAGGUAGCGAAAUUCCUUGUCGGGUAAGUUCCGACCUGCACGAAUGGCGUAAUGAUGGCCAGGCUGUCUCCACCCGAGACUCAGUGAAAUUGAACUCGCUGUGAAGAUGCAGUGUACCCGCGGCAAGACGGAAAGACCCCGUGAACCUUUACUAUAGCUUGACACUGAACAUUGAGCCUUGAUGUGUAGGAUAGGUGGGAGGCUUUGAAGCGUGGACGCCAGUCUGCGUGGAGCCAACCUUGAAAUACCACCCUUUAAUGUUUGAUGUUCUAACGUUGGCCCCUUACCGGGGUUGCGGACAGUGUCUGGUGGGUAGUUUGACUGGGGCGGUCUCCUCCCAAAGCGUAACGGAGGAGCACGAAGGUUAGCUAAUCCUGGUCGGACAUCAGGAGGUUAGUGCAAUGGCAUAAGCUAGCUUGACUGCGAGCGUGACGGCGCGAGCAGGUGCGAAAGCAGGUCAUAGUGAUCCGGUGGUUCUGAAUGGAAGGGCCAUCGCUCAACGGAUAAAAGGUACUCCGGGGAUAACAGGCUGAUACCGCCCAAGAGUUCAUAUCGACGGCGGUGUUUGGCACCUCGAUGUCGGCUCAUCACAUCCUGGGGCUGAAGUAGGUCCCAAGGGUAUGGCUGUUCGCCAUUUAAAGUGGUACGCGAGCUGGGUUUAGAACGUCGUGAGACAGUUCGGUCCCUAUCUGCCGUGGGCGCUGGAGAAUUGAGGGGGGCUGCUCCUAGUACGAGAGGACCGGAGUGGACGCAUCACUGGUGUUCGGGUUGUCAUGCCAAUGGCACUGCCCGGUAGCUAAAUGCGGAAGAGAUAAGUGCUGAAAGCAUCUAAGCACGAAACUUGCCCCGAGAUGAGUUCUCCCUGAGACUUUAAGUCUCCUGAAGGAACGUUGAAGACGACGACGUUGAUAGGCCGGGUGUGUAAGCGCAGCGAUGCGUUGAGCUAACCGGUACUAAUGAACCGUGAGGCUUAACCUU
rnacentral:rRNA from 1 species